CGUGCUUAACACAUGCAAGUCGAACGGUGAAAGGGAGCUUGCUCCCUGGAUCAGUGGCGGACGGGUGAGCAACACGUGGGAACGUACCUUUUGGUUCGGAACAACUCAGGGAAACUUGAGCUAAUACCGGAUGAGCCCUUAGGGGGAAAGAUUUAUCGCCGAAAGAGCGGCCCGCGUUAGAUUAGCUAGUUGGUGAGGUAAAGGCUCACCAAGGCUACGAUCUAUAGCUGGUCUGAGAGGAUGAUCAGCCACACUGGGACUGAGACACGGCCCAGACUCCUACGGGAGGCAGCAGUGGGGAAUCUUGCGCAAUGGGCGAAAGCCUGACGCAGCCAUGCCGCGUGAAUGAUGAAGGUCUUAGGAUUGUAAAAUUCUUUUACCAGGGACGAUAAUGACGGUACCUGGAGAAAAAGCCCCGGCUAACUUCGUGCCAGCCGCCGCCGUAAAAC
rnacentral:rRNA from 1 species